UGGCACUUUGCCUGAGUUUGGUCUUCUGG
rnacentral:piRNA from 1 species